ACCGUUAUUAGGGGGAGGGGUGGGAAGAGUUUCUGUUUGGGGUUUACAGCUCUACUCUGCCCUCUUGCACUCAGACACCACCUUUAAAACAUCCCAGCCCCAAGCCUAGUCAUGCCAGCAGGAAAAUGACCUCCUUACAUCCAGUCCUAUCAAAUUUGCAGAAAAAGUGCUUUGUUCAGCAAACCAUGUCCACUCGGAGAAUUCUUUAGCGCGACUCAGAUUCCAGCCUUUUUGAAGCAAAUCACAAGGCUAAAGAUUCUCUUCUCCUAAAUGACAUUCAACAACUUCACCACAACUUCCCCUUGCAAGAUGGCCCGCCUUGCACGGAGCUUUCUCUCUACCCUGAGAUAACAUGGAAGCUUUCCAACUGAAUCAGCGAGACGGAGAAAUGCACCACACCCCCUUGCCCACCCUCAACCUCACACUCCACACCCCGGCCACUAACUAGGGCCACCAGAGGUUUCAUUUUCUUUUCCUCUUAAAAGCAGCGCCUUAGUUGGCCACCUAGCAGUCCAACAGCAAAUACGAAAGUAUUGAGCGCUGCCUCACGACCACCCAGUCUGCAGAAGGAGGGGACCCGCCAGCUAAAUUUCUACAGAACCUGCUGCGCACAGGCAUGUCAUGCUGGAGAUGUCACAGAACCCCAGAGGCCCAGGCUUCUGCUGCUCUUCAGACUAAGGAGCUUCUGAAUGUAGAAGUGUUAACCACGAGCUCUGUGUCAAUGCAAACAGGGUUUCACUAUGCUGAUCAGACCAGACUUGAGCUCAUGAUCCUCCUGGCUCAGCCUCCCUGAAUCACUGGGAUUACAGGUGCACACCAUUGUACUGGACUCAGGUCUUUGUUUAAACAAUUGGGUGGUUUCUCCAAUUAACAGGCAGCAAGUCUCUGGAUUCAUUGUGAUGCUUUUAACUCACCCUUGCAGUGAA